AAUGAACGCUGGCGGCGUGGAUAAGACAUGCAAGUCGAACGAAAAGUGAUUUAGUUUACUAAUGAUCUUUUAGUGGCGGACGGGUUAGUAACGCGUGAGCAACUUGCCUCAAAGUGGGGAAUAGUCCUGGGAAACUGGGCAUAAUACCGCAUGUGCUCUUCGGAGUAAAGCUGGCCUUCGGGCUGGUGCUUUGAGAUAGGCUCGCGUCCUAUCAGCUUGUUGGUGAGGUAAAGGCUCACCAAGGCUACGACGGGUAGUUGGUCUGAGAGGACGACCAGCAACACUGGAACUGAGACACGGUCCAGACACCUACGGGUGGCAGCAGUCGAGAAUCAUUCACAAUGGACGAAAGUCUGAUGGUGCAACGCCGCGUGUGGGAUGAAGGCCUUAGGGUCGUAAACCACUGUCAUGUGAGAGUAAGGCUUAUAAGUUAAUACCUUGUAAGUUUGAUAGUAUCACAAGAGGAAGGGACGGCUAACUUCGUGCCAGCAGCCGCGGUAAUACGAAGGUCCCGAGCGUUAUUCGGAAUCACUGGGCGUAAAGGGAGCGUAGGCUGCGCGGUAAGUCAGAUGUGAAAUCUCAAGGCUCAACCUUGAAACUGCAUCCGAUACUGCCGUGCUAGAGUAAUGGAGGGGUAACUGGAAUUCUCGGUGUAGCAGUGAAAUGCGUAGAUAUCGAGAGGAAGACCAACGGCGAAGGCAGGUUACUGGACAUUUACUGACGCUGAGGCUCGAAGGCUAGGGUAGCGAAAGGG
rnacentral:rRNA from 1 species